UUGCAGAUUAGAAGUUGUUCGUGUUCUGCUCGCUUUCAGCAAUGCUUGAACAGGACGUUCAAGCAAGCAGCUACUGAGCCACGGAUGGCGAAUUAGCUGCGGUUGCGUCCAUUAAAGCAAUCUAAAUCAGAACACAUACAACUUCUUAUCUGCAAAU
rnacentral:ncRNA from 1 species